UACAGAGGUCCCAAGCGUUGUUCGGAUUCACUGGGCGUAAAGGGUGCGUAGGCGGUCGGGUAAGUCUGAUGUGAAAUCUCCAAGCCUAACUUGGAAACUGCAUUGGAUACUAUCCGGCUAGAGGAAUGGAGGGGAGACUGGAAUACUUGGUGUAGCAGUGAAAUGCGUAGAUAUCAAAGUGGAACACCAGUGGCGAAGGCGAGUCUCUGGACAUUUCCUGACGUGAGGCACGAAAGCCAGGGGAGCAAAACGGGG
rnacentral:rRNA from 1 species